rnacentral:tRNA from 1 species
UAAUAAAUUAAAGCAUAUUUUUCAUCUAUUUUCGUUAGGAUAUUUUCUUUUAUUGU